rnacentral:misc_RNA from 1 species
AUGAAUAGGAUUUUGGUAAAAGAUUUUAUAAGGAUGAUGAUAUUGGAUCCCUUAAAGAUAACUACAACUAACUAUGCUAUUUUAAGGUUAGCUUUCCCCAGUAGUGCUUGUACGGCAAAUUCAUUUCCUCCAGGAAAGUGGAUAUAAUGGUAUAGGCAGAGUCUAGCUAGUCUAUCUUUUCCUCUUUCAGAUUUUGUCAUAUGUUUUGAGUACUUACAACUAUGAGGGUUAAGACAGGUGCUUUAAUUACUAUACAACUACUUUGGAGUAUUUUGGUGAGGUUUUAAGAGGGCUACACUGCUUUUGGGUGGUUUGAAAAAUAUUGAAGAGGGAUUCGAUUGUUUCUUCUGCAAGACAAUAGGGGUUGGAGAGUUGAGAGAAUACCCCCACUUGGCUUUUCGAUACCUAAGUUAGUAAAAAAUAAAUAGGUAAGGACAAUAAAAAUAGAUGAGAGGAGUUGUAAGAAUGUUUUACUUGAGACAAUAAAUGCUUAUAUAUUAUAUGAUAAAACCAAUAGUGAGAAAACACGUGGAGAUUUAUGCUAAAUGGGACUGUCUCGUUUAGCUGCAUCCCUGCUCGAGAUUUGAAUAUAUUUAAGUCGAGAUGAUGAUGGAUUUGACAUACUUGAAAUGAAAUGGUGGUGAUAAAUACUCUGUGAGUGUAGGUAUGUUGGACUAGUCAAUAGAUAAAUUAUGCAUGCCAUGAGUAUUACCCGGGGGUGGUAGUCUUUAGCAAGGACUCGUAGGACGGCUAGUUAGUGUAAAGGGUAUCUCACCAGUUCUAUCUGAGCUAUUGGUUGUAGGUGGAGACCCUAUGGUAGACUAAGCUACCGAGCAGAUUCCAGUUCACUUAAAAGGGUGAAUCGGAGUUAGAAUUGUGAACCCUACGGUUCCAUUUUGGUUCAAUUUAGGUGCAAUAAACGAUCUGGAAUUUUUUCACAUUUUAAAAAUUUUUUAAAUAAAAA